UCUGGUGGCCAUGGCGACGGUGCCCCACCCGUUCCCAUCCCGAACACGGUCGUGAAAGCCGUCUGCGCCGAAAAUACUGGAGGGGCAACCCUCUGGGAAGAUAGGACGCUGCCAGAA
rnacentral:rRNA from 2 species